AAAUAAAUUGUUAACGUCGGGAACUACUAUUGCAAGCUCUGUUAUGCAUUUGAUAAAUAAAAAAAAAAAAAAAAAAAAGUUCAGAAAAAGUGAAGUAACAGCAGAACCAGACAAAACGAACUGUUUGAAAUAAAAGAGGCGGACUUCCCGCUUGGCCACUACUGCAUGUGCAACAUGUGUCAUAUACGCGGGAAUAUCCAUCUAUCGCCCUGCAAAUGGCCGGGAAGUUAUAGCGCUCAUCUACAGAAGGAAUAAAAGUUUUUAACUCGUGUUAUGAAAAUGCUGGCAAGAACACAUGAACGCAAUAACACAUUUUUAAGACUGGCGAUGUUGUCUGGACCUAUUCAGUUUGGACUUUUAUUCAGUUUUUAUUUCCAGGCUUUAUACGACAGUUUGCAGUUGAAUGAGAGGGGGAAACUUUAAAUGAUAGGACUACCAUAAUUGAACGCCUAUGGAGGUUUCUAAGAAGAGCCUGGACGUUCCUGUGCCGCGGUGGACAUAAUAACUCUGAGAUUCCGUUGUCAGUUGAAGAAACAGCGCCACCUCUUGGUUUGAGCACUGUACGACCAUGGAAUUACAGUGAGGAUGGAGUUAUAAUUAGAACGGUUUAGAACACUUGGAUUAAGAUGAAGAAACUACUUCAUAAGUUUCUUACUUCAGAGAUGGAGGAUUAGCCCCCUUGUAAUCAUCUUCGUCCCAGCCACUUAUAUCACAAAUUCGUGAGAGGAGUCGAUGUCAGGAGGUGGGGCAGAGUUAUGGUGCUCUCGCCUCAAGUUGUGCACAAGGAGUUUUGGACCUCUGUUGGGUUUGUUUUGGUCCAUGCAAGGCAUCAGUAGAGCAUAAUCUAGUCUAUUUGAUGUGGGAGUCCUGCCAAGUUGUUGGCCAGCCCUAAGAUAUAAUUUGGCCAACAGUGAAAAUUAGAUUUCUGUAGUCAAGUGAUACAAUCAUUCAUUCACUCUUCAUUGUAAGACAGAUUAUCAGGGCUGAUGAGUGUGAUAUUCCUUUUAUACCAAAAUUCUAAUUGUAAGUAACCAGUUAGUAAGUACAUUUCUUCUCUUCCAAAGAAAAUAGUUUCAAAAGAAGCCAAAGCAUCCAGCUUUUUGCAUGUUACCAAACAAUGCACACUGAAUACUAUGGAGGACAGUAACAAAGUAUAUUUACAUUUAUCUGUACGUUAUUGUUUUAUUUUCAUUUUACUUAACUUCAAGGCAUAAUAUCUUACUUUUGCUUCACUGCAUUUCAUAAAUAUUGUGCCUUGCUCCUCAUUCAUGUGUAGACAUGGUGGUGAUGUCUGAUAGGCAGUGCUGGGUACAUUACUUACAAGUUCUUUAGAAUUUAUGAGCGAAAAAAAUGUCUGUAGCCUAUUCUUUUAAACUAAAGUUGCAGCUAUCUCAUAAUCCCAUCACACAAGCCGGUAUUUUGUUGUUGUUCCGUCUCUUUAGUUUCCUUUUUUUACUGUAAAACAACGGCCCAGGCAAGUGUUAACACCUUGUGGAACAACUGAUUAGUGCAAAACAAAUUCAUUGUGCACGAAAUUUGCAUCAUGGACCCUCGAAUACACGUAAAAACAGAAGUAAACUUUGGGCUUUAGGCCUAAGCAUUACAUCACGAGUUUUCAUGGGGUUUCAUGAAAGAAUUGCAGGGGUUUAUGAUCAAAUUUAAAUCAAAAAUUAAAUCAUAAAAAAAUCUAAUUAAACUAAUUAACUCAUUUUCAAAUAAAAGCAAAUAAAAAUAAAAAAUACCUAAACAGUAAAAAUAGAAGUAUGUUACUGGAGAAGUACCGGAGUGUGUGCAUUUACACAAAAUGUAAGUGGAAUAAUUUUUUAGAAAGGAAAUUUUAAAAGAGAAAUAAAAUAUGAAUAUAGCGAAUCAGUAAAUUAUGAAUAAUCUACUGCCAUUGUGUGAAUAAUAAUAUGUAAAGAUGUAAUCCAUAAAAAGUAACUGUAACCUGAUUAUGAGCAUUUAAAAACACUUAAUUUUUUUAAUCUGAUUAGAUAAUCCAGAUUACACUACCCAGCACUGCUUAUAGGAAUGAAUUAUUCUUUUGAGAUUAUUCUUUUGAUGAUCAUGUUAAAUUGGUUCACAAAUCACAAUGAACAAUUCAUUCAUGAAGUAGAGUGAUCCAGCUGUAAUCAGGUCAGAGAGGGUCUCUAACAACUCACCAAAUUGGUCAUGUCCAACUCAAAAUGGACCAGUGACCCUCAACUUGAGCUUGCAGAGGAUUUGACUGAAAGUGGAAAAAGUUACCAAAGCCAAAUGUUAGUAUUGUUUUUGUUUUUUGUUUUUGUUUUUACAUAAAAUUCAUAUUUAUGUUAUGCAUGUUUUUGAGCUAAAUCUGUCUAAUGAAAUGCUUGAAUGUGUAUAUACGUCAGGUAAAUAAUUGAAAGCCAUUUAAAAUAAACCAGUGCCUAUAAUGCAUCUUUCCUGCUGUACUAUUAGUUUGAAAAUUAAAUUAUAUAAUUAAAAAAACUAUGUUUGCUUUGAGUUAUUAAAACAUUCACACGUUGCCCCAUGCGAGAUCAUCUAUAAAAAACAAAA